ACUGCAGGUAAUGUUCCUUUUCCUCGCCUUGGGACGGGACUGAUUGACAGAGAAGUGCGCCCCUUUUUAAUGGGCUUUCCGGCACCCAUUUAACUUUUGGAUAAGGGUAUCGCCCACAUCAGCCCCGUUCACAAACAAUAGAGGAUCUGCCCGGCAGAGCGGAGUGUAAACGCUUCACAAGCUGCAGGCCAGGAAAACCCCUAAGCAGUUGGCCGGCGAGCCGGCGGGCCCAUCAGCCGGCCAGAGGGCCCUGCCAAUCAUCAUCCGCUUCUCCUCCACCGGCCUCCGCCCGGCUCCCCGCUGCACAACAGCCGCAGUGUACCUGCCCAGGUCUGGCACCUGAAUCGCAGCAGAAGACUGAAUGUCCAGUGGUGCAAACGACGCCACGACACCAACUGGCGCUUCUGCUCAGCUUCCUCACACCGGAGGAAAACACAGGAUUCAAUGUGCUCCACACGCCAUUUAACACCAACCCAGGCUUAAAGACGUCAGCCGCCCAUGAGAAUAUUUGAGUCAGCAGCUCGUGGUGUGAGGAUCAACGUGUGGCCCGCUGUGCCGGUCCGGGUCGGCCAGAGUUCAGCCAAACACAACACGUGAGCCGACGCUGGUUUAACCACGAUGACGUCUCCAGGUGAAGUAAAGACGAGGCUGAGCUUCACCUUCAUGCAGCGACGCCGCCUGGCUUCGGUGGUGGACCGGGGUUACUGGGAACACUGAGAAUGCGGCCAUGGCGUGGGGACCCCGGCGUCCCCCCUGCUUCCCCCCACGGCUCCCUCACAUCUGUGUGCCGUCUGACCCGGCGGCUCACAGCUGCUCCGCCUCAUUAUAGCCCCUGAUGGACGGAUCCGUUUCCCCCUGACCUCAUCCUCCCUCCACAACAACGUCUCUGCACCGUGAGGGUCUGAAUCCCUCCAUCACGGCACAGGGACACCUCCUCCUGCCAUACAUGCAGCACUGAGCAGCACUGAGCAGGCCGCUGAGUACACUGAACGCCAGGAACACAAGGAAAGAGUGUGAGCGAGAGGGUUUUCUUAAAAAUCCCAGAGGAAGAAAUACUGUGAUUAUCUUGUGUUUGAUAAUUCUGAAUGAUCAUGAUAAUGAAUGAUAAUUUUUCAUUUGAUUAUUUGUUACCAUUGCCAAGUUUUCUCUACAUGAAACUGUUCUCAUGCAGUAAUGUGCAGUGAAAUCCCAGAUCAGCUGCACAUCCUUCCACUAUUGUCUUUGGGGAAGAUUAAGAUGUGUUUUAAAAGCUGUAUUUAUUCCCUGAAUCUAAAGGAACACAAUCCUAUCAAUGAUUGUGGAACUGCGGGUGGAGAUAUAUUUAAUAUUUAGAGGAAUUUCAUUAAAACAUAUUGUUUGAAGAUGUUUAUUCUGUUUUCUAUAGUUAGAAUUUUCCUUGUUUUUGCCGUAUUUGAACAAUAAUGUUUAUGUGUCAUUCAUCACAUGUACGUUAUAUAAGUGUGACAAGAGUAUCGUAAGUGAAGUGAAUUAAAGCAUGCUCAAUGCAAUGCAUGGCCAGAAAUUAUAUAUAAACUGAUCAAAUUACUGAAACAUACAGCUUGUUGAGUCUCCUGCUGAUGCAUUAAAUAAA